GAUCCUGGCUUAGGAUGAACGCUAGCUACAGGCUUAACACAUGCAAGUCGAGGGGCAGCGGGAAUCUAGCUGCUAGAUUGCUGGCGACCGGCGCACGGGUGAGUAACGCGUAUCCAGCCUUCCCCUUAGUAGGGCAUAGCCCGUAGAAAUGCGGAUUAAUACCCUAUGUUAUUCGUCGAGGACAUCUGAAGUGAAUCAAAGGUUUACCGCUAAGGGAUGGGGAUGCGUCUGAUUAGGCAGCAGGCGGGGUAACGGCCCACCUGGCCUACGAUCAGUAGGGGUUCUGAGAGGAAGGUCCCCCACAUUGGAACUGAGACACGGUCCAAACUCCUACGGGAGGCAGCAGUGAGGAAUAUUGGUCAAUGGUCGAGAGACUGAACCAGCCAAGUAAGCGUGCAGGACGACGGCCCUAUGGGUUGUAAACUGCUUUUAUGCGGGGAUAAAGUGACGUACGUGUACGUUUUUGUAGGUACCGCAUGAAUAAGGACCGGCUAAUUCCGUGCCAGCCGCCGC
rnacentral:rRNA from 1 species